CCGAGGGAGAGACGAUUUAUCUUUAUCUUCACGAUGAUACUUGUAAUAAACGCAAUGGUGCCACAAGUGGCACAAUUUUUCGUAUGCGAAAAUAUGGAGUGUGUCUAUGAAACUAUACCUCCACACAUGUUGGCAAUAAUGUUAUUGAUAAAAUAUUUCACUUUGCAUUUGAAUAAAAACCAGGUUAAGGACCUUACGGAUCGUUUGUUUAU